rnacentral:rRNA from 1 species
UGCAAGUCGAGGGGUAACGGAAGUAGCUUGCUACUAGACGACGACCGGCGCACGGGUGAGUAACGCGUAUGUAAUCUGCCUUGUACAGAGGGAUAGCCCAGAGAAAUUUGGAUUAAUACCUCAUAGUAUUACUGAGUCGCAUGAUUUGGUAAUUAAAGCUCCGGCGGUACAAGAUGAACAUGCGUGACAUUAGCUAGUUGGUAAGGUAACGGCUUACCAAGGCUACGAUGUCUAGGGGUUCUGAGAGGAUGAUCCCCCACACUGGUACUGAGACACGGACCAGACUCCUACGGGAGGCAGCAGUGAGGAAUAUUGGUCAAUGGACGCAAGUCUGAACCAGCCAUCCCGCGUGAAGGAUGACUGCCCUAUGGGUUGUAAACUUCUUUUAUAUGCAAAUAAACCUACUUUCGUGAAAGUAGCUGAAGGUAGCAUAUGAAUAAACACCGGCUAACUCCGUGCCAGCAGCCGCGGUAAUACGGAGGGUGUAAGCGUUAUCCGGAUUUAUUGGGUUUAAAGGGUACGU